ensembl:lincRNA
GUCGUACUACAUUACAUACGGCGCAGGCAAGACUGUCAUUGUAUCGGUGUUGUAGGACAAAUACGUAAAUGUACGACUAUUUACUGUAAUUGACUCGGUAUUAGUUAACAAGAAACCCAGCCUGCUAGAAUCUGUAAUGUCGGAGGCUUUAAGACCCAGGGGGUACUAUUUACAAACGGAGCCCUUCUGCAGUCAGUCAUUGCUGCGUCUAAUGUUUACAGCCAUGAGUUCCUGCCACCCUCACUUUCUUCUGUCUUUAAUUUCUCUUUUUUCUUUGGCGGCAGGCCAAUUUGGCGAAACUAAGCUGCAGGAUCGCCCGUUUGCGGUAUUGCAGCAUCAGAACCUGGCUCUGCUGCUGAGUGUGCUCAGCGUCCUGCUGGUGAUCAUGGUGCUGAUGGCAGUCUGCGUGUACAGACCCCUGUACCGCCGAUAGCCGCUGUCCAGAGCUGGGACUCGUUGAAGAAUGGCAGUGCCAGGCUGUGGGCAUCUCUGCACAUGAGCCAGCCUUACAAUGACAGUGCACCGCAAGUUAGUCUUGACCUGCAAGCUUCAGCCUUUCAAAGCAGUCUGCCGGGUAUGUGUUACCUGCAGAUGUGCGUGCUUACCCUUACUGUAAUUCAUUCUAUGGCCUUACUCCACAGCCUGUCAUUAUGUUUCUUUGUGAAGCCCCUUUACCUUGUGUUUCUACCCCCAAAAAAAUCCUGUUCAGUAUUGGAGGGCCUUGGAAAGUAUUAUUUUUAUGCUUGGAAAAUGCAUAUCCCAUUGCACUGAAUAUUCAUUUUUCUGCAUUUGCGUAAAUUGGAUUUGCACGCUUUUGUGAAUCAAUUCGGAGCUUUCUUGGUGACCUUCUUCGUUGCAUUCUCCUUUCUCAAGUAUGAUUCCAUUCGAAGAAGGAAUCCAUGGGUUUAUCCAAAACAGUGGUUCCAAACGCUAGUCCUGAUGUUUUUUUAUAUAUAUAACUGAGAUCUAAAUCCUCAGUGCUAAUUGACGACUUAAUUGAUGUGUUUUCUUGUUUAGACUUUCAGCUUGUUUCUUCUGUAAGUCAUAAGUGUCAAAAAAGCCCUACUUCAGGAAUAGUCCUACAACUUCAGAACACAGAACGCAGCCUUUCCUCAACUUGUAGUUAUAGCUAGAACUAGAGCAACCAGCUCAUACCAGUUGAUUAAUUUACAAUGAACAAACACCUGUGGCGAUGACACUAUCAAACAUGCCCACAUUGGAGAUGUCACUGUCUCAUUUCAUGCCCACAGUGGGAAUAACACAAUGAGACAUGCCUAUAUUGGAGAUGUCACUGUAAUAGAUACACCCACAGUGGGAGUAACAGACAUGCCCACAUUGGAGAUGUCACUGUCUCAGACAUGCCUACAGUGGAUGUGGCACAAUCAGACACGCCCACAUUGGAGAUGUCACUCUAACAGAAGUGACUGAACAGAAACGCCCAGUGUUUUUUUCCUUCUGCAGACCAUUUGGCGUAGUCAGGCAGCACACCUGCAUGAGAGCCCUUCUGAAACUCAGAAAUAAGUGCAGAGCUGAUUACAAAUUCCAUUUGACUUUUUAAGAGCUAAAAGCAAAUUUGUGACAAAAAGCUUAAAUCCAUUAUCCUGUGAUUAAGAACCUAGCUGACACAGAAAACAGAAUGAGCGGUGUUCCUCCAGGACCAGGGUUGGGAACCACUGCUCUAAAAGACAAUCCUGGCCAAUUAUUUGUAAGGCAUGUGUUUGCAGUAUAUGAGCAGCUUAGGUAUGCCAUACUUUUGAAAAGCUGACAAUUUUAAGAAGAAUGUAGCAAUAUCUACAUUUUCUGGUUUUAUUUAUGUUUUUAGAGAAAUCUACAGAUGGUUGAUUUUUGUUGUAAGGAGAAUUACAUUUUCACCAUUAUUUAUAUGCACACGACCAUCACAAAGGACUUUUUUGAUUGUUUUAUUUGUGUAUAUUAUGUAGUAAUGCACUACUGGAACUAACUGGAUGUACUGUAACAGCCUACUGUGAUUACUGGUUAAUGGGACCUUCUUUGUUUUAAAUUUUCAUUUCAUCUCAUCAUUUUGUGCAUAAAAGCUGAUACUUGAUUAGUGCUGUUUGAACUGCACUUUUGUUAGAUGUGACUUUUAGAUUUUUAUGUGCAUUAUUUUAACCAGUAAUGUUGUUUGGUUUGUCCUUAUUUAUUCUGACAUGUUACUGUGACAUGCUUUUGAGCAUUGUCAUCCCACAGAGUGGACAUGAUGUCAAACUUCUGCAAUGUGAAAAGAAAUUCACGGGCCUUUAAUAACUUGCUCAUAUUUGGAUUACUGCGGUUUCAUUUCACUUCCUUUGCGGGGUGGUAUGGAAUGAAUAUUGACACGGUAAAUAAGGCACAAGCAGUAUUGUGCUGGAUUCUAAAAGGCAGGAGGUCCUACAAGAUGAGCCUAAAAAAAAACGUUUUUGUCUUUGUUUUUAAAUGUAACCAUUAACCUCAGUGUACGGGAUAUACUUCCAUGAUGGAAUUUAAACACUAGAUGACAGUAAAAUGAAACAAUUAAAAACUUUGCUUCAAUUAAAUGAUCUGAUGUGGUGUUUGUGACCUUCAACCAUAUGUUUACACGCAAUUAUUGGAAUACCUCCUUCCAGUAUCCCACCACAAAUAGGGUGUAGCAAACUCCAACCUCAAAGGCAGAUGACACUUAAUACAUAUAAUACAGUAUAAAUGUUUGCAAAUGAUUGUAGCAUUCAUGAUAGUAGGAGUAUAGUCGUUUUAGUCUGUUGCUCAUGGUAAUGCUGGUAGUUGUGUUUUUACCAUAUAUGUUGUACAAGCUGUAUUCUGUUUUGCAUUGAUUCAUCAAUCAUCUUUCACCAAUGAUAUUUUCAAUAAAGAAAAAAAGAGGCCAAAUAAAGUCUUUAAACCAGAGCCAUGGAAACGGAGUGCCUGGGACAAACACACACCCCUCUGUGCAACUGAAGUGUCUUUCCAAAGGUUUUAUUUAUGUAUUUCUUUCUUUUCUGUAUUUCUUCAUUCAAUUCAUUUCCUUACACUGCUAUUUGUUUUGCAUUGAAUAUUUUUACACUGAAAAGAUAAUGUCCUGUUUAUAAUUUCAUCCCACCAGCUAUACUCCAGAACUAACAGAGCUGUGCACAAGAACCCUCUCUGCUUGACCUCGG